CCUACGGGAGGCAGCAGUGAGGAAUAUUGGACAAUGGGUGGAAGCCUGAUCCAGCCAUCCCGCGUGAAGGACGACGGUUCUAUGGAUUGUAAACUUCUUUUAUAUGGGGAUAAACCUACUCUCGUGAGGGUAGCUGAAGGUACCAUAUGAAUAAGCACCGGCUAACUCCGUGCCAGCAGCCGCGGUAAUACGGAGGGUGCAAGCGUUAUCCGGAUUUAUUGGGUUUAAAGGGUCCGUAGGUGGGUUGGUAAGUCAGUGGUGAAAUCCUGCAGCUUAACUGUAGAAUUGCCAUUGAUACUGCUAGUCUUGAGUGUAUUUGAAGUAGCUGGAAUAAGUAGUGUAGCGGUGAAAUGCAUAGAUAUUACUUAGAACACCAAUUGCGAAGGCAGGUUACUAAGAUACAA
rnacentral:rRNA from 1 species